rnacentral:rRNA from 1 species
CUCCGCCGGCGACCGGCGCACGGGUGCGUAACGCGUAUGCAACCUACCUUUAACAGGGGCAUAACACUGAGAAAUUGGUACUAAUUCCCCAUAACAUUCGAGAAGGCAUCUUCUUGGGUUAAAAACUCCGGUGGUUAAAGAUGGGCAUGCGUUGUAUUAGCUAGUUGGUGAGGUAACGGCUCACCAAGGCAACGAUACAUAGGGGGACUGAGAGGUUAACCCCCCACACUGGUACUGAGACACGGACCAG